UACGUAGGGUGCAAGCGUUGUCCGGAAUUAUUGGGCGUAAAGAGCUCGUAGGCGGUUUGUCGCGUCUGCUGUGAAAACCCGAGGCUCAACCUCGGGCCUGCAGUGGGUACGGGCAAACUAGAGUGCGGUAGGGGAGAAUGGAAUUCCUGGUGUAGCGGUGGAAUGCGCAGAUAUCAGGAGGAACACCGAUGGCGAAGGCAGUUCUCUGGGCCGUAACUGACGCUGAGGAGCGAAGGCCAGGGGAGCAAACGGG
rnacentral:rRNA from 1 species